GGACGUAGAUGUUAUGGUCAAUCUGAGUCACGGUAGUGCAUUUUCCCUGUUUCAGUGUUGGUUUUGUAAAUUCUGUUGUAGCUACGAAAACGAACAGGGAAACAGCACUCAGAAAGGACAAGGUGUAGCAGAACAUCUCAGGACAUCUAUUUACCAUGACGACCUACAGUAAAAUGAGACAACUCGUCAUGGAUUUCAAUAUUUAUUGGUAUGAGGACGGCGACAUUUUCCUUGGAGUUGAUGAUCCUGGGUAACGUCCCGCAUGCCGCACACAUCAUCACCCGAUUGAGACCAGGAAUCGCCAGCGUUGGCUGGCUGUUCGACAUCGGACCAGUGAUCGCCAGUCAUUUCGUCGUCGGUGGUGGCAGGUAGUUCUCCGGAACCCAAGUCCUUCUACGACUUCCAGAAGGUUGCAACAGUCGGUCCAACGUGUCCGAAGGAUCAUCGUCGUCAUCAUUGCAUCAGUGUACAAGUAAGCAUCAUGUCUUCGUCGAUCUUGCAUAAACUUGACAAGUUAAAGAAAUGUGGAGAGUUUCAAAAAAUGGCGACAAUUCCUAAAAACAUCAAGUAUGAUGUGGUUGAUGUUAACAAAAUUGAAACGAGGUAUGGCGAGGCGGUCUACGUAGAAAUUAUGAAGGAUCACGAGCACGUAAAGGUGUUCCUUCCAGCUCGGUUUCAUAAACUAAGCACUCAAGACAUCGAAGACAUGAGGAACACGAGCGGACUCUGGAUGGAGAAGAAAGAGCGAGUUGGAAAAGAGGGGAAACGUCUUCUUUCGCCAGACAUCGUGUUCGGUCAAUCCGAGUAAAAAAAUAAAAAGAAAUGGUGACAUGCCACCUUUGUCCUCCGGCCGAUCGGCAGCACUACACAACAGCGCUGGGACUUCAAGUUCAUCUGGCUAACGUUCAUAACCUUGCAACACCCUGUAUCCCAUUUUGUGAGACACUCUGUACGCUCCGCAACUAUACCAACCGCUAUGAGCUUCAUCUACAUGACAGAGACGACGACGGGCAGGAUGUCAGCACAUUCUUUCAUGAAAACGGACGCUACCUUGCCGGUGUACUUCGACAUUUCGGAUUUCCGUUACGCUUUUAUGUUUUGCUGAAGGCGGAACUCGGUCGACAUACGCCUGAGGAUGAGAUCAUAUUUGUCACUCAAUUUAUUCCUUCGAGUGUGCAUACGCUGUGGUCGGAACGAGACGUAGAACGUGCUGUCAUUGAAGUAGGCACUGAAGUCACCAACAAUUUAGAAAAGCUUGAAAUGCAAGGGUCGGGAUUUUUCU